GAUGAACGCUGGCGGCGUGCCUAAUACAUGCAAGUCGAGCGAAUGACGAGGAGCUUGCUCCUCUGAUUUAGCGGCGGACGGGUGAGUAACACGUGGGUAACCUGCCUGUAAGACGGGGAUAACUCCGGGAAACCGGAGCUAAUACCGGAUGAUAACGAGAAGCGCCUGCUUCUUUUUUGAAAGUCGGUUUCGGCUGACGCUUACAGAUGGGCCGGCGGCGCAUUAGCUAGUUGGUGAGGUAACGGCUCACCAAGGCAACGAUGCGUAGCCGACCUGAGAGGGUGAUCGGCCACACUGGGACUGAGACACGGCCCAGACUCCUACGGGAGGCAGCAGUAGGGAAUCUUCGGCAAUGGACGAAAGUCUGACCGAGCAACGCCGCGUGAGCGAUAAAGGCCUUCGGGUCGUAAAGCUCUGUUGUCAGAGAAGAACAAGUACCGGAGUGACUGCCGGUACCUUGACGGUACCUGACCAGAAAGCCACGGCUAACUACGUGCCAGCCGCCGCCGUAA
rnacentral:rRNA from 1 species